UUUGCUCACACUCUAGCCUAUUCAGAGGCGAAUCCUAACGACGUCAGCAAGCUGUCGUCACCAGGAUACCAAUGAGAAGCCAGGUGGAACAGCCCUAAAGGUAUUCGUUGCAAUCCUCAAUCCCGAACACCACAUUCCGCUCAAGGUUAUAACACUCCCGAAGGAGCCACAUCCCUCCAGCCUUUUUAUGACGUUCGAAAUUGAUGUUAACCAGCGGACACGAAAGUGCUCCCUCUCGUCGGAGGUCACACGCUGUGGCGGUUUUGAGGCUCGCCACAGCAUGUGAUCUGACGACGAGAGGGUUGAUUUCGUCAAGAGUUCACGCUUCGUGACGGUUUUGAGGCUCGUCGCGCCAUGUAAUCUCAAGACGAGAGGGUUGAUUUCGCGCCAGCACGACUG
rnacentral:rRNA from 1 species